AAGUCGUAACAAGGUUUCCGUAGGUGAACCUGCGGAAGGAUCAUUAUUGAAAUAAACCUGAUGGGUUGCUGCUGGCUCUCUUGGGAGCAUGUGCACACUUGUCAUCUUUAUAUCUCCACCUGUGCACCUUUUGUAGAUCUGGAUAUCUUUCUGAAUGCCUGGCAUUCAGGUUUGAGGAUUGACUUUUGUCUUUCCUUACAUUUCCAGGCCUAUGUUUUCUUCAUAUACACCAUGUAUGUUAUAGAAUGUAAUGAAAAGGGCCUUUGUGCCUACAAACCUUAUACAACUUUCAGCAACGGAUCUCUUGGCUCUC
rnacentral:misc_RNA from 1 species